CACCAUCGACACCACAAUCUGCUAACGGUAUUUCUCUUUUUUGGAUACAGAAAUGGGAGUCGCAGAGACAGGAAAAAUAGUGUCUAGUCUAGUCUAGUGAAAAGGGCUGAAAAAAUGAGUUGGAAUAGUGCAAGUGUUUAGUGUGAUAUUUAGAAACGACCGACAAACCGCAUAGAAAUAGAACGUCCGAGGAAAAAAGCAAUGUUGCAGUGGGGGAAGACGAAAAUCCCAAUUUGUGACUGAAGUUUAUAUAAUAUUCAUGCGGAGGGGUAAAUAGUUAUCGUCAUAACUUUGAUAGCUAAUCCCUUUUAAACCCUUUAAGCCUCGAUAGAUCACGACGUCCUUGGGGAGACUCAGGGGCUUGUUCUUCAAGGAAUAGGGGAGAUAUUUGGUUCAUGCUCUUCUCUCCUGAUCCAUGGUACUGCUUUAUGGUCUCCAUGGCCCUCGUUAUGGCUUCCCUGCUCCAGGAUCCACGCGAAGUGCUGCAUAAUUCCUUUUCCGACAAAGCUGUUUUUUUCUGCUCCCUCAAGGAUAAAUAUAUUAUUUAAGCAUCAGUCACAAAUUGGGAUUUUCGUCUCCCCCGGCUACAGCAUAUUUCUCUCAACAAACCUCGAGCCCAUCUCCACCUACUAGACGACCACUGGCUGUUACUCAGAGCACCAUCAAGGUCACCAUAAAGUUGGUGAUCAGGAAGCCAAAGGAGAACCUCUCGCCAUUCCUUUACAAUCUCGUCAACAAAGUCAUGAGGGCGCACAAAUUUGAUCCCGCGAAGGCCAAGCUAGCUUCAUUCACUCUAACGGUAACGAUAACGGUAUCUUAUUUUGGCUACGGGAUUCGCAGAGGCGACACAUGACAAAAUCGCAUUGUAUUGAAAAGUUGUGAAAAAAAUUGAUUGCUGUGGUGUGGUGGUCAAGAGUGCCAGGGAGCACCCCACAUCCACAUCAGUAACCAACAGUGAAAGUGUAGAGAGCCAUGGAACGUUCGAAGAGAAAAACAGUCUGAGAAGACAAAUCUCACUCAGGAUUCCCGAGAGGAUACACUGAGGACUUCCUCCCUUGGACGUUGGCGAAUUAUUAGGCUGGCCACAUGGAGAGGGAACAGCAGAAACUUGUCGGCAAAGCAGAUAUGCAGCACUUCGCGUGGAUCCGGGAGCGGGGAAGCCAUGAAGAGGGCCAUAGGCACCAUCAGGCAGCACCAUGGAUCAGAAGAGAAGAGUAGGAUCAAAUGUCUGCCAUAUCCCUUGAAGAACAAGCCCCGAAGCUCCUAAUUUUCGUGAGGUGUCGAGACUCCAAGCAGCUUUCUUCUCCAUCGGCUACAACAUCUUCACCAAAAAGCUGUAGCCCAUCUCUACCUACCAGACCACUCAGGUUGCCACCCAGCAGGACACCAUCAAGCAGUUUGAUCCCAUGAAGGCCAAGCUCGCAACAAUAAGCUGCAAUUGCAAAGUACCUCUGCCAUCUUCGACAGCGGAAGCCGUUGGUAGGAAUAGCACCCCAGCAUCUCAGCAUUUUUCAGAAAACGUGGUGAGUCGCAAUACACAUUUUAAUAAUUAACAACAUUGCAUUAACUGCAUUUCAGUAUAAUUUUUUAACGAUUUGCAAAUAGAUAAUAAUAUAUUAUAUUUGCUAUUCUAAGUGCAAAGCAAUAAAAUAAGUUUUGUAAGAGAAGAGAAUCCGUGAAAAAUCCAUUACAUGUUUUCUGUUUUAUAAGAAAACUUUUCUUUAUAAUUUUAAGCGUAAAACUUGAGCGAAAACCGCUUAAUCGCGAUAUAAUUCCCUAAUGCUUUAUAGAUAACUAUUUAAAUUUUUUAUUUAGUGUUCUAAGUGCCAAAGGAAGAAUAUAAUUUUGAAGGUAUAAUACAAAUACGAUUAAAAUUUAGAUUUUGUAUGUAAAAACAAUGCAAAAAAAUGUACCGCUCACAGGAUUUGAACAGUCGGAUACUAAAAAUAAUGAUAUGUUAAAGCGGGUGUUAAAGGAAAGCAAUUGUUCAGCUCGGAAAACAAUUGCAGGGUUUUGAAAUAGCCGCGUAAAUGUUUUAACGUUGGAAAACAAUUGCAAAGUUUGGAUUUUCCCGCGUAAGCAAAGUGAUUCAAAUGUCUUGAAUCCGGUUUGUGUCUUGGUUGAAAAAUUUGCCGCUUUUAACAUUUGAAGUGUUUGAAAAGUUCAAAUGUCCCUACACUUAAGAACUAUACUUCAGUCGAGCUAAAUUUAGAUGGUUAGAAAUUCAUGUUAAAUCUCUUAAAUAAGCGUUUAUAUACUAGGUUACUCAAUGAAUAUGCAUCUCAAACAUAUUAAAUAAAUCUCAUAGUAAAAUUUGGUGUGGUCGUGUUGUUAACAUUCAAGAAAUACUGCAUUUCAACAGUAAUAUGCAAAUUCUGUCCAAAAGAGAAAAAUAGAUAAAUAAAAAAUAGUUGUUGUUAAAAACAAAAACACCCAAGAGGGGGGGGGUAUAAAAAAAAUAAACAAAAAUAAAACUUAGGAAAAGAGUAGAAAA